rnacentral:lncRNA from 1 species
AACGCCUACUAUCACGUGCAAAAGUUGAAAACCGUGUUCCUGUUUGUCGCCAAUGCCUUCAAGGAUACACACCAAGUGGACCCGCGAGUUUCUGGAAGCUAUAAUAUCUAUUAUGCUAACGAAAUAUGCUUUAUCGCUGGAACGCAUCUACCGGGUAACAGAUACACAUUUGAAAGCAACGC